rnacentral:pre_miRNA from 1 species
GAUUUCAAUUAAAAAAGUCAUCAAUAACAAAGUGGUAUAACUCAUCAAGAUCUAUAACUUUUAUUUGGGUCAUUUCUUCAUCCGACAAAGCGAAUUAUAACAUUGUUCACAAAAUAUACAUAUCUCUUAUAUAGUUUAUAAACUAUAAGAGAGAGAUGUAAAUUUUGUAAAUAAUGUUACUAUUACUUUGUCGGAUGAAGAAAUGACCAAAAUAAAAGUUAUAGAUAUUGAUGAUUUAUACAACUUUUUUAUUGAUGACUUUUUCAGUUGAAAUC